GAUGAACGCUGGCGGCGUGCCUAAUACAUGCAAGUCGAGCGAACAGACGAGGAGCUUGCUCCUCUGACGUUAGCGGCGGACGGGUGAGUAACACGUGGAUAACCUACCUAUAAGACUGGGAUAACUUCGGGAAACCGGAGCUAAUACCGGAUAAUAUAUUGAACCGCAUGGUUCAAUAGUGAAAGACGGUUUUGCUGUCACUUAUAGAUGGAUCCGCGCCGCAUUAGCUAGUUGGUAAGGUAACGGCUUACCAAGGCAACGAUGCGUAGCCGACCUGAGAGGGUGAUCGGCCACACUGUAACUGAGACACGGUCCAGACUCCUACGGGAGGCAGCAGUAGGGAAUCGUCCGCAAUGGGCGAAAGCUUGACGGAGCAACGCCGCGUGAGUGAUGAAGGUCUUCGGAUCGUAAAACUCUGUUAUUAGGGAAGAACAAAUGUGUAAGUAACUAUGCACGUCGUGACGGUACCUAAUCAGAAAGCCACGGCUAACUACG
rnacentral:rRNA from 1 species